AGAGUUUGAUCAUGGCUCAGGACGAACGCUGGCGGCGUGAAUUAGGCAUGCAAGUCGAACGGUAUGGUGCUUUCGGGCAUCAGAGAGUGGCGAACGGGUGAGUAACACGUAGGUAAUCUACCCUCAAGACGGGGACAACCCAGGGAAACUUGGGCUAAUACCGGAUGAUAGCAGCAGCGAUGUUGUUUAAAAGAUGGCUUUCGGGCUGUCGUUUGGGGAUGAGCCUGCGUCCUAUUAGCUAGUUGGUGUGGUAAAGGCACACCAAGGCGAUGAUAGGUAGGCGGCCUUAACGGGUGGUCGCCCACACUGGGAUUGAGAUACGGCCCAGACUCCUACGGGAGGCAGCAGUCGAGAAUAGUCUACAAUGGUCGGAAGACUGAUAGUGCGACGCCGCGUGAACGAGGAAGCCCUUCGGGGUGUAAAGUUCUUUUAUAUGUGAGCAGUGGGUUCUACGUUAAUAGCGUGGGAUCAGGGAUAUUAGCAUAUGAAUAAGCAACGGCUAACUCCGUGCCAGCAGCCGCGGUAACACGGGGGUUGCGAGCGUUGUCCGGAAUUACUAGGCGUAAAGGGCAGGUAGGCGGAUCUAUAAGUUUUUUGUCAAAUUCAACGGCUCACCCGUUGCGCGGCAGGAGAUACUGUAGAUCUGGAAUGCGGUUGGGGAAGACAGAAUUCCUGGUGUAGCGGUGGAAUGCGCAGAGAUCAGGAGGAAUACCUAAGGCGAAGGCAGUCUUCUAAGCCGUAAUUGACGCUAAACUGCGAAGGUGUGGGUAUCAAACAGGAUUAGAUACCCUGGUAGUCCACACAGUAAACGAUAAUCACUG
rnacentral:rRNA from 1 species